rnacentral:rRNA from 1 species
GACGAACGCUGGCGGCGUGCUUAACACAUGCAAGUCGAACGGAAAGGCCCUGCUUUUGUGGGGUGCUCGAGUGGCGAACGGGUGAGUAACACGUGAGUAACCUGCCCUUGACUUUGGGAUAACUUCAGGAAACUGGGGCUAAUACCGGAUAGGAGCUCCUGCUGCAUGGUGGGGGUUGGAAAGUUUCGGCGGUUGGGGAUGGACUCGCGGCUUAUCAGCUUGUUGGUGGGGUAGUGGCUUACCAAGGCUUUGACGGGUAGCCGGCCUGAGAGGGUGACCGGCCACAUUGGGACUGAGAUACGGCCCAGACUCCUACGGGAGGCAGCAGGGGGGAAUAUUGCACAAUGGGCGGAAGCCUGAUGCAGCAACGCCGGGUGCGGGAUGACGGCCUUCGGGUUGUAAACCGCUUUCGCCUGUGACGAAGCGUGAGUGACGGUAAUGGGUAAAGAAGCACCGGCUAACUACGUG